rnacentral:rRNA from 1 species
UCGAUUUACCUUCGGGUAUUGAGGAUGGCGGACGGGUGAGUAACGCGUAAGGAACUUGCCUCUUGGUCUGGGACAACUGUUGGAAACGACAGCUAAUACCGGAUAUUAUGAGAUUCUCGCAUGGGAAACUUAUGAAAGCUAUAUGCGCCAAGAGAGAGCCUUGCGUUCCAUUAGCUAGUUGGUGGGGUAACGGCCCACCAAGGCGACGAUGGAUAGCCGGCCUGAGAGGGUGAACGGCCACAAGGGGACUGAGACACGGCCCUUACUCCUACGGGAGGCAGCAGUGGGGAAUAUUGGACAAUGGACCAAAAGUCUGAUCCAGCAAUUCUGUGUGCACGAUGAAGGUCUUCGGAUUGUAAAGUGCUUUCAGUUGGGAAGAAGCAAGUGACGGUACCAACAGAAGAAGCGACGGCUAAAUACGUGCCAGCAGCCGCGGUAAUACGUAUGUCGCAAGCGUUAUCCGGAUUUAUUGGGCGUAAAGCGCGUCUAGGCGGAAAAAUAAGUCUGAUGUUAAAAUGCGGGGCUCAACUCCGUAUUGCGUUGGAAACUGUUUUUCUAGAGUACUGGAGAGGUGGGCGGAACUACAAGUGUAGAGGUGAAAUUCGUAGAUAUUUGUAGGAAUGCCGAUGGAGAAGUCAGCUCACUGGACAGAUACUGACGCUAAAGCGCGA